CCCAGUAGCGGCGAGUGAAGCGGCAAGAGCUCAGAUUUGAAAUCGUGUUUCGGCACGAGUUGUAGAGUGUAGGCGGGAGUCUCUGUGGAGCGCGGUGUCCAAGUCCCUUGGAACAGGGUGCCUGAGAGGGUGAGAGCCCCGUAGGGUGCUGCGCGAAGCUUUUGAGGCCCUGCUGACGAGUCGAGUUGUUUGGGAAUGCAGCUCCAAGCGGGUGGUAAAUUCCAUCUAAGGCUAAAUAUUGGCGAGAGACCGAUAGCGAACAAGUACUGUGAAGGAAAGAUGAAAAGCACUUUGAAAAGAGAGUGAAACAGCACGUGAAAUUGUUGAAAGGGAAGGGUAUUGGGCUCGACAUGGGGGGUGCGCACCGCUGUCUCUUGUAGGCGGCGCUCUGGGCGCCCUCUGGGCCAGCAUCGGUUCCUGCUGCGGGAGAAGGGGCUCCGGAAAGUGGCUCUUCGGAGUGUUAUAGCCGGGGCCAGAUGCCGCGUGUGGGGACCGAGGACUGCGGCUUCUGUCUCGGAUGCUGGCAUAACGGCGCAAUACCGCCCGUCUUGAA
rnacentral:rRNA from 1 species